rnacentral:rRNA from 1 species
CGCUGGCGGCACGCCUUAUACAUGCAAGUCGAACGAAGUAGCAAUACUUAGUGGCAGACGGGUGAGUAACAUGUAGGUAUCUUCCCUUUGGUGAGGAAUAACACGAGGAAACUUGUGCUAAUACCUCAUAAGUCUUUACGGAGAAAGCUUUAUGCGCCAUUGGAUGAGCCUGCACUUGAUUAGUUUGUUGGUGGGGUAAUGGCCUACCAAGACUGUGAUCAAUAGCUGAUCUGAGAGGAUGAUCAGCCACAUUGGGACUGAGACACGGCCCAAACUCCUACGGGAGGCAGCAGUAGGGAAUAUUGCACAAUGGAGGAAACUCUGAUGCAGCGAUGCCGCGUGAGUGAAGAAGGCCUUUGGGUUGUAAAGCUCUUUCGUCGGGGAAGAAAAUGACUGUACCCGAAUAAGAAGGUCCGGCUAACUUCGUGCCAGCAGCCGCGGUAAUACGAAGGGACCUAGCGUAGUUCGGAAUUACUGGGCUUAAAGAGUUCGUAGGUUGUUAAAAAAGUUGGUGGUGAAAUCCCAGAGCUCAACUCUGGAACUGCCAUCAAAACUUUUUAGCUAGAGUAUGAUAGAGGAAAGCAGAAUUUCUAGUGUAGAGGUGAAAUUCGUAGAUAUUAGAAAGAAUACCAAUUGCGAAGGCAGCUUUCUGGAUCAUUACUGACGCUGAGGAACGAAAGCAUGGGUAGCGAAGAGGAUUAGAUACCCUCGUAGUCCAUGCCGUAAACGAUGUGUGUUAGACGUUGGAAAUUUAUUUUCAGUGUCGCAGCGAAAGCAGUAAACACACCGCCUGGGGAGUACGA